rnacentral:rRNA from 1 species
AUAUGGUAGUCUGUUAGUAUAGUUGAAGGAUUUGGAAAAUUCCGCUAAAGAGGGUGAAAGCCCCGUAGACGAAAUGCUGACAACACCUAGGAGGAUCCUGAGUACGGCGGAACACGAGAAAUUCCGUCGGAAUCCGCGGGGACCAUCCCGCAAGGCUAAAUACUCCCUAGUGACCGAUAGUGAACCAGUACCGUGAGGGAAAGGUGAAAAGCACCCCGGAAGGGGAGUGAAAUAGAUCCUGAAACCGUGUGCCUACAACAAGUCAAAGCUCGUUAAUGAGUGAUGGCGUGCCUUUUGUAGAAUGAACCGGCGAGUUACGAUUGCAUGCGAGGUUAAGUCGAAGAGACGGAGCCGUAGCGAAAGCGAGUCUGAAUAGGGCGAAUGAGUAUGUAGUCGUAGACCCGAAACCAUGUGAUCUACCCAUGUCCAGGUUGAAGGUGCGGUAAAACGCACUGGAGGACCGAACCCACGUACGUUGAAAAGUGCGGGGAUGAGGUGUGGGUAGCGGAGAAAUUCCAAACGAACUUGGAGAUAGCUGGUUCUCUCCGAAAUAGCUUUAGGGCUAGCCUCGGAAUUGAGAAUGAUGGAGGUAGAGCACUGUUUGGACUAGGGGCCCAUCUCGGGUUACCGAAUUCAGAUAAACUCCGAAUGCCAUUCAUUUAUAUCCGGGAGUCAGACUGCGAGUGAUAAGAUCCGUAGUCGAAAGGGAAACAGCCCAGACCACCAGCUAAGGUCCCAAAAUAUAUGUUAAGUGGAAAAGGAUGUGGGGUUGCACAGACAACUAGGAUGUUGGCUUAGAAGCAGCCACCAUUUAAAGAGUGCGUAAUAGCUCACUAGUCGAGUGACCCUGCGCCGAAAAUGUACCGGGGCUAAACAUAUUACCGAAGCUGUGGACUACACCAUUAGGUGUAGUGGUAGGAGAGCGUUCUAAGGGCGUUGAAGGUCGAUCGUGAGGACGGCUGGAGCGCUUAGAAGUGAGAAUGCCGGUAUGAGUAGCGAAAGACAGGUGAGAAUCCUGUCCACCGUAUGACUAAGGUUUCCUGGGGAAGGCUCGUCCGCCCAGGGUUAGUCGGGACCUAAGCCGAGGCCGAUAGGCGUAGGCGAUGGACAACAGGUUGAUAUUCCUGUACCAGUUGUUUUUGUUUGAGCAAUGGAGGGACGCAGUAGGCUAAGGAAUGCAUGCGAUUGGAAGUGCAUGUCCAAGCAAUGAGUCUUGAG